rnacentral:tRNA from 1 species
GGAGGGAUGGCCGAGUGGUUUAAGGCGGCGGUCUUGAAAACCGCUGUGGCGUUUAACGUCACCGGGGGUUCGAAUCCCUCUCCCUCCGCUA